CUACGGAGGGUGCAAGCGUUACUCGGAAUUACUGGGCGUAAAGGACGCGUAGGCUGGUUUGCAAGUCAGGGGUGAAAGCCUACAGCUUAACUGUAGAACUGCUCUUGAAACUGCUUACCUAGAGUAUGGGAGAGGUGAAAGGAAUUAGUGGUGUAGGGGUAAAAUCCGUAGAGAUCACUAGGAAUACCGAUUGCGAAGGCGUUUCACUGGAACAUUACUGACGCUGAGGCGUGAAAGCGUGGGGAGCAAACAGGAUUAGAAACCCUAGUAGUCC
rnacentral:rRNA from 1 species